rnacentral:rRNA from 1 species
UGCUCCUACGGGACGCAGCAGUGGGGAAUAUUGGACAAUGGGGGGAACCCUGAUCCAGCGACGCCGCGUGAGUGAAGAAGUAUUUCGGUAUGUAAAGCUCAAUCAGCAGGGAAGAAAGAAAUGACGGUACCUGACUAAGAAGCCCCGGCUAACUACGUGCCAGCAGCCGCGGUAAUGCGUAGGGGGCAAGCGUUAUCCGGAUUUACUGGGUGUAAAGGGAGCGUAGACGGCGAUGCAAGUCUGAAGUGAAAGGCGGGCGCCCAACCCCCGGACUGCUUUGG